GCACUCUGGUUUCUCUUCAAAAUGAAUAAAUCUUUUGUCUUUGACUAAAGAUUUCCAUGGAGAGGGACAGAUGUAAGUUGGUAACCAAAUUUUUUGAGAUCUUCCUUUGGCAUGGCU
rnacentral:snRNA from 1 species